GCCGGGUGCAAUGGCAUGCGCCUGUAGUCCCAGCUACUCAGGAGGCUGAGGCAGGAGGAUUACUUGAGCCCAGGAGUUCUGGGCUGUAGUAUGCUAUGCCCUAUGCCGAUAGGGUGUCUGCACUAAGUUCGGCAUCAAUAUGGUAACCUCCUGGGAGCAGGGGACCACCAGGUAGUAGGAUCGUGCCUAUGAAUAGUCACUGCACUCCUGGCCUGGGCAACAUAGUGAGAUCCUGUCUCUA
rnacentral:SRP_RNA from 1 species